rnacentral:tRNA from 1 species
GCGGAUGUAGCGCAGCUGGUAGUGCAUCACCUUGCCAAGGUGAGGGUCGCGGGUUCGAAUCCCGUCAUCCGCU